UACGAGGGGGGCGAGCGUUGUUCGGAAUUAUUGGGCGUAAAGGGUGCGUAGGCGGUUCGGUAAGUUUCGUGUGAAAUCUUCGGGCUCAACUCGAAGUCUGCACGAGAUACUGCCGGGCUUGAGUGUGGGAGAGGUGAGUGGAAUUUCCGGUGUAGCGGUGAAAUGCGUAGAUAUCAGGAGGAACACCUGCGGUGUAGACGGCUUUCUGGACCAUUGUUGACGCUGAGACACGAAAGCGUGGGUAGCAAACAGG
rnacentral:rRNA from 1 species